rnacentral:lncRNA from 1 species
GGCAGGGAGGGAGGCAAAGUGGGAUGGGUGAGCGGGAAGAGAGGGUGGGAGGGUUAGGGCCGCCCCAGGGCUGAUCCUAUAAAUAACUGACAGCCAGUGCCCAGGACUCCCAUCCCUGCCUGCAAAGCUGCGUGUCUUGAGGUUGUCAGGUAGUCUGUCUGGAGUCGCUGCCACUCGGUGCCGAGCUGAUCUUCUAGCUGAUGGGUGAGGCAAUCAAGUCCAUAACCUUCGGAAGCAUGAGUGAGGACCUCCUGGAAGGCACCGAGGAGCUGAACUGGGCCUCCCACACCUCCUUGACCAUUCCCAAGAUCUCCAAAAGCAAGAAGCUGGAGAGGAGCUCCGACAAGGUGUCUGCUGCCAAGGUGGCCCAAUCUCCGGAUCCUGACCCUCAUGCUGAGCCCGGUCAGGAGAUGGAGCCCAAAGGCAGCUCCAAGGGCAAGGGCAAAGCUGGCUCUGGCGCCAAGGCUGUAGAGCUAGGCCCCAACCCCAAGUCCUCCAAAGGGAAGGGCGAGGAUCAGCAGGGAAUCCGCAAAGAUCUGGCCAAGAUCGAGCAGAAAGUGGAUAUCCUGCUCGAGAGGAUGAAUGAAUUUACCAAGGAGAUAGGUCUGUUGGCCAAGGGGAACAAGGAGAAGCUGGAUAAGCCAGAGAAUCUGGAGAAGCUGGAGAAGCCGGAGAUGCCUGAGAAGGCCAACAAUCCUGAGAAGCCAGAGAUGCCUGAGAAGCUGGAGAAGCCUGGCAAGAUGGAGAAGGUGGAGAAGGUGGAGAAGGCCGAGAAGCUGCCCGCUCCCCAGCCAGCAGCUCAGCAGCAGCAGCAGCCUCAGCACCAGGGUGGCAAGGGCCAGAAGAAGUUCAAGGGGGGUGCCAAGGCUGCUCCUGCUGAGGUUGGCAGCGGUGGCAGUGCUGCUGGCAAGUCUGCUUAGAGGGAUCGAGCCUGGACCAGAGUGACAGCGCUGGAGCUGCAGCAGCAGAGCCCUCCAGCAUCUACAAGGGCCCUUGUCCUAGAGCCACGCUCACCUGGUCCCCUCUCCCAGCAUCCCCAGCUCAUGCUCCCAGUUGUCCCCAGUUCAGCUCUCUUGCAGGUGACCUCCUCUUUAGGGAGAACCCCCUGCAGGGGCUGCCCCCCUUCCCUAUAGCCCCCCUAGGAGGCUCCCACACCCCACCCCUCAGCAAAGCCUCCAAGUUGGGCUCCCUUAGCUCGCCUUGCUUUUCUCUGCAUAUUUAGCAAUAAAAAAGUUCUCUUGCUCCUUUGGUGACUUUUG